rnacentral:rRNA from 1 species
GGCUUAUAAUUGAAGUCUGGCAUGAAAGAACUACGGGUAAUUACUGUCUCCCUUGGUCGCCUUGAACUUCCUUAAGGGUGAAAAUGCCCUUUGAUAAAUAAUAGACGAGAAGACCCUAGAAAUUUUUUAUACCAUAAGAUAAUCUUAUUUCUAUUUUGUUGGGGCGACAGAAUAACAUUUAACUUGUUUUAUUUAAUAUGAACUAUAUAUUGAGCAAAAAUAAAUUACUCUAGGGAUAACAGCAUAAUUUGAUAAAGUUUGUGACCUCGAUGUUGGACUAGGGAUUUCAUUAACCAGCAGUUAAUGAAACAGGCUCUGU